rnacentral:rRNA from 1 species
AAUAGAUACCCGGGUAGUCCACGCCGUAAACGAUGGAUACUAGCUGUUUGAGCGCAAGUUUGAGUGGCUAAGCGAAAGUGAUAAGUAUCCCACCUGGGGAGUACGGGCGCAAGCCUGAAACUCAAAGGAAUUGACGGGGGCCCGCACAAGCGGUGGAGCAUGUGGUUUAAUUCGAUGAUACGCGAGGAACCUUACCAGGGCUUAAAUGUAGAUUGACGUAUUUGGAAACAGAUAUUUCUUCGGACAAUUUACAAGGUGCUGCAUGGUUGUCGUCAGCUCGUGCCGUGAGGUGUCAGGUUAAGUCCUAUAACGAGCGCAACCCCUGUUGUUAGUUGCCAGCGAGUAAUGUCGGGAACUCUAGCAAGACUGCCAGUGUAAACUGUGAGGAAGGUGGGGAUGACGUCAAAUCAUCACGGCCCUUACGUCCUGGGCCACACACGUGCUACAAUGGCCGGUACAGAGAGCAGCCACUUAGCGAUAAGGAGCGAAUCUAUAAAGCCGGUCACAGUUCGGAUCGGAGUCUGCAACG